rnacentral:rRNA from 1 species
AUUGAACGCUGGCGGCAGGCCUAACACAUGCAAGUCGAACGGUAACAGGAAGCAGCUUGCUGCUUUGCUGACGAGUGGAGGACGGGUGUGUAAUGUCUGGGAAACUGCCUGAUGGAGGGGGAUAACUACUGGAAGCGGUAGCUAAUACCGAAUAACGUCGCAAGACCAAAGAGGGGGACCUUAGGGCCUCUUGCCAUCGGGUGUGCCCAGAGGGGAUUAGCUAGUAGGUGGGGUAACGGCUCACCUAGGCGACGAUCCCUAGCUGGUCUGAGAGGAUGACCAGCCACACUGGAACUGAGACACGGUCCAGACUCCUACGGGAGGCAGCAGUGGGGAAUAUUGCACAAUGGGCGCAAGCCUGAUGCAGCCAUGCCGCGUGUAUGAAGAAGGCCUUCGGGUUGUAAAGUACUUUCAGCGGGGAGGAAGGGAGUAAAGUUAAUACCUUUGCUCAUUGACGUUACCCGCAGAAGAAGCACCGGCUAACUCCGUG